UGUUGUUUAUUCAUACAUCUAUGCUACAUGUGCAGUGUGUAGCAUAAGAAACCUGUACUACAUCCAACAAGAUCACAAAACAGUCAGGUCAUAGCCAUGUCUACCAUACUAAAUCCUGCUGCAUUUAACAAUCAGGAAAUGUAUUUUAUAUAGACAAAAAAUGGAUAAUAUCAAAUUCUCCUACCUUGCGUGAUGCUCAGAUCAAACUCGAUAUUCAAAAUGAUUAGAAUACAGGAUUUAUUUUAAUUGCCCAUAUAUAAUUUUAUUAUUAAAAUUAUAUAUAUCUAGUAUGACAUAUACAACAUUUUUUUGCACUAAAUCAACCAAGAAAUAUAUAUAAUAACUGAACUAGAUGACUUUGCAUAUAGUUGAGCGGUUCUGAGUGAUAGCCAUAGAUGCAAUUUACUCUACUGUCUAUUUUUGUCUUCCUAUUUAUUUUUGUGUUUGCCUAAGAAGUCCUUCUUUGAUAGUCUGAAUGACUUGUAUCUCUUUGAAAUUAUGUUGUAUUCCUGUUGUAUUAAGGUGUGUGUGUGUGUGUGUGUAUGUAUGUGUGUCUGUGUGUGUGUGUGUGUAAGGAUGGAAGAGAGGAAAGAGAAAGAUGAGAAUGUCUUGGAUUAAUUUUUCUCUUGGAACUGGCCCUGUAUCCUGGUUAGCCAUAGGCAGAAGACUGAAGCUGGACCCAUACUUUUUUACCAUAUGCAAAAAUUAACUCAAAAUGAAUGAAACAUUUGAAUGUAAGACCUUAAACUAUGAAAAUUCUAGAAGACAAUCUAUUGACAAAUGGGAUCACACCAAGUUUAAAAGCUCUGAAUAGCAAAAGAAACAAUAAAUAAACUGUAGAAACAACCCACAGAAUGGGAGAAAAUAUUUAAGUAUAUAUUUUAUAACAGAAAUUAUAAGAUGCAUUAUAGAUAUAAAUCAUAUUACUUUCAAACAUACACUGCCUUAUACAAAAAUUAACUCAAGAUGGAUUAAAGAUUUAAAUGUAAGACAUAAAAUUUCAUUAACUAUGUAAUAUGUCAGAAGUUACUAACAUCUCUGAAUUUUCCUAUAUGUAAAAUGGGAAUAAUGAUAGCACCUCCAUCAUAAGAUUCUUUGUGAGAAUUAAAUAAAAUAAUCUCUGGAAAAAUUUGAGAUAUUCAGGUUGACUGCUGAGCAAUUUAUCAAAAUAUAUAAUCUUGGAAAGAUGAUAAAUUUCAUGGGGCAGUAAAGGUACUAAUGGAGGAAAAAGUAUACUAUUUUGAAAAAAUGAGUAUUUUAGAAUGUGCCAAGGAGAUACAAGUGGUGAUAUGAAGUAAGAAGUUUGAUAUAAAAACAUAGAGUUCAUAAGACAUUUAAACUCAAAAAUGAAAAUGGGUUGGCAUCCAUCAGCACAGAGGUGGUAUUAUACAUACUGCGUGGGACUGAAUGAGAUUAUCUCAGAAAAUAAAUUAAAUCUUCUUUUAAUUAAAGAAGAGAAAUGCUUUCAGGAUAGAUACCUGAUGUACUUUAGUGUUUGAGGUUGAGCAGAAGAAAAGUUGUUAGCUGAGAAGACUCCAAAGUAGCAACAAGAGAAAUAAAGAGAACAACAAGAGAAUGUUACAGAAACUGCAUCAUACAGAAUUUAGUUGCAGAUAAGAGAAACUUAUCUACCAGUUUUAAGAAUAAGGAAUAUAGACACAGCAAAUUAGAUGCUUACAAAUUUGGUGGUUGGGCUGGUUCCAUAAAAUUUACUCCUAGGACAAGGUAACUCAGGUUGCCUAUCAAGGGAAUAGUUUCGCAUGUUACAGUCGUACAUCUGAUGAAAAAUAUUGGCAUUGUCUCAAGUGCUGGCUACAGGAUCACACUUCCCUGGCCUCAAUGUAAAGACAAGAAGCCACCACCAGAUUGAUUGGCUUUAUAAUCAUGCUACACAAACAAAAAUAAUGUUUCAAUCUCUAUACUUUGCCAUGGUCAUUACUAAAAUCCCUGCAUAUGUAAUUUUCAAAUAAUAAAUCAUAUAUGAAAUGUUGGAACACAUAUUAAAAGAGUCAGUUUACCAUACGGACCAAAAGGUAUGCAAGGGGAGGGAGGUAUUUCAAGAAGGAGCAGUUAUUUGUGUGCAAGGGUACUGGUGAGGCAUGUAAAGGAUGACAGAAAAAAAAUUAAAUUUGGCGCUAAGAGAUAUCCUUGCUGACCUCAACAUAGUAGCAGAGAGGUGAAAACUUGAGGGAGGUAGAGUAGGUUGAAGAGUGAAAAAGUAGCAAGGAAAUGGAGAAAAGAAAGAGAAAUAACUCAUUUUUGGAGUGCUUUUGUGAAAAGAAGCAGAGAAAUGGAGCCAUGGUUGGGUGUGAACGGAGGGGUCAACAGAUUUUUUUUUUUCUUUUUCUUUUUUUUUUUUUAGAGACGGAGUCUCGCUGUUUUGCCCAGGCCGGACUGCAGUGGCGCUAUCUCGGCUCACUGCAAGCUCCGCCUCCCGGGUUCAUGCCAUUCUCCUGCCUCAGCCUCCCAAGUAGCUGGGAUUACAGGUGCCUGCCACCACGCCCAGCUAAUUUUUUGUAUUUUCAGUACAGACGGGGUUUCACCGUGUCAGCCAAGAUAGUCUCGAUCUCCUCACCUCGUGAUCCGCCCCCCUUGGCCUCCCAAAGUGCUGAGAUUACAGGCGUGAGCCACCGCGCCAGGCCAGAAUUUUUUUUUAUUUUAUUGGCUUUAAAUGGCACGUAUUGACAAGCUGAUGGGGAUAAUUCAGUAGAAAUGGAGACUAACGUUUCAGAGAAAUAAGGGAUAGUUGCAAGAUAAAAUACUUAAGAAUAUUACAACCCAAAUUAAGGUGUUCUCAGAUAGAGAGAGUGAAGGGAGAGAGGAAAAAAAGGGAGUCCAGGAGAUUGUUUGCAAAAAACUGGAUAAAUAAUGGGUUGUGAGCCUAAGUGUGUACAAAGAGAAAUGAAGAUAGCAUAUGGAGGCUGGACAGUGGAAAAGUUUGAUGGAUUGACAGGUUGGAGGUCUACAUUAGGUAAAAAAUAGUUUGUAGUGGACCAAUUAGAGUCAAGGGCAAAUGGAAGGGGUCAGACUGAUAUAGUUAUGGUUCUGGAUAUGAACAGGUCUAGGAUGUAAUUAUCAGAAUGUUAAAUAGAGGAGAUUUUUUAAAAGUUUGUUGGAAGUGAGGAAGUCAAGAAACAGAACUGGGGGUGAUGGAUGGGUCUUCUUGGCUAUAUCACGGAUAAUAACAGUAGCACUAAUUGAGAGUAAAAUCCUGAGCAAGGAAACUAUUCAUUCAGUCAGUGAAACAAGGUGACUUUAAGAUCUAGAAGUACAAUGGCAAUAAUUUAGCAGUACUAUAUGGGAGUCAAAUAAGCUAUGGUUUAGAAUGAGGAAAGAAAAAACACACAUAUGCUGAUUUUAGAAUUGUCAUAUGGACUAAACGUGAUAAUUGUUAUAAAGCACUAUAACCAAACUCACGCACGUAAACACAUACACAACACACACAGACACACACACACACACACACCAUGGAAGUAUUAGGUCACUAAAAAAUCUCACAACGUGACAUACAUACAAAAAGUUUUUAGAGCAAGUGAAAUUUUAGCUGCUAUAUGUUAAUUGGUGGUAAUCCCAGCAAUAAAGACAAGGUAAUCAGAAAAACUUUCUUCAAAAAUUCUGCACAUUCAUUGACAUGCUGUUCCUUCUGCAAUGAAUUCUUGAUGAUAUUGAGUGUCUUACUAAUAUCUAUAUUCCACACAACUGGCAUGAACUCAGGCACACUGAAUCAAUAUUUAUUGA
rnacentral:lncRNA from 1 species